UCGAAUAGAGGUUAAAACGAGUAAUAAUUGGAACGAUACAGAGAAGAUUAGAAUCACCCCUGUAGAAGGAUGACACACACCUAUCGAGAAAUGGUCCAAUUUUUU